AAUCCAUAGGUUAAUGAGGCGAACCGGGGGAACUGAAACAUCUAAGUACCCCGAGGAAAAGAAAUCAACCGAGAUUCCCCCAGUAGCGGCGAGCGAACGGGGAGGAGCCCAGAGCCUGAAUCAGCAUGUGUGUUAGUGGAAGCGUCUGGAAAGGCGCGCGAUACAGGGUGACAGCCCCGUACACAAAAGCGCAUGUGCUGUGAGCUCGAUGAGUAGGGCGGGACACGUGGUAUCCUGUCUGAAUAUGGGGGGACCAUCCUCCAAGGCUAAAUACUCCUGACUGACCGAUAGUGAACCAGUACCGUGAGGGAAAGGCGAAAAGAACCCCGGCGAGGGGAGUGAAAAAGAACCUGAAACCGUGUACGUACAAGCAGUGGGAGCCCCACCACCAAAGCAUUUGCUGUACCGCGUUGACGGAGCGAAGCGACGUCAAACCGAUAAAACAGCAGUGUAAAGUGAGCCGCAGGGCGCUUUGCGCGACAGCGCAAAGGCAGGCGGUUUCGCGUAGCGAAAGCGAAUGCUUUGGGGUGGGGUGACUGCGUACCUUUUGUAUAAUGGGUCAGCGACUUAUAUUCUGUAGCAAGGUUAACCGAAUAGGGGAGCCGGAGGGAAACCGAGUCUUAAUUGGGCGUUAAGUUGCAGGGUAUAGACCCGAAACCCGGUGAUCUAGCCAUGGGCAGGUUGAAGGUUGGGUAACACUAACUGGAGGACCGAACCGACUAAUGUUGAAAAAUUAGCGGAUGACCUGUGGCUGGGGGUGAAAGGCCAAUCAAACCGGGAGAUAGCUGGUUCUCCCCGAAAGCUAUUUAGGUAGCGCCUCGUGAAUUCAUCUCCGGGGGUAGA
rnacentral:rRNA from 1 species